CUAAAAAAUAAUUAAUAUUACACUAAACUGAACUUAUAAUCCGAUGUAAAAAUCAUAUAUGUACUCGAGAAAUUAACGUAAAAUUAAGUUUGAAUUGAUACAGAGCCCCAAAUCGUCGUUUGAAUCAUUAAACAAAACAUUAUGUCAAAUAUCGUGUAAUUUUAAUUUAUGUUUGACUUUAUUAUGCGUCUUAUUUGAUGCACAUGAUUGGAGCGUGUUUUUAGAUGUAAUUUUAUGUCUCAGCAGACUGAAUUUUAAGCUUAUUUGAGUGCUCUCUCUUGACAGUGCAAGCGAAACGUCAGCCAUAUUUGUGUUGUGCAAAUCGGUGGAGGUCGAGUUUUUCACUUCUAUUCUAAAAUCGCCGAUAAUGUUUCGAUAAUCUUUGGGUUUCCUCUCAAAAUCAUUAAGCUGUUCGUAAUGGAACCACCGGAGGGGAAAACAAUCGGCAUCGGUCACUGGCGGGAAAUAUUAGUUGCUUAAAUCCACUUCGCCUUGGAGCAAACAAAUUGGCCGUCUUCGGCAAUGGAAUGCCCUGACCGGGGCAAGACCGUGACCCG